GUCAGGGAUAGAGGCGCGGUUGAUUAUGAGUAGGCACCGGGAGCUGGCAAGCGAUGAGAGGUGCGGAAAGGAAUAACCGCCGAAGUACGGCCUGGGCCGCAGGUCCGUGCUGGUCCGGCACCGAAUAGGUGUCUGACUGUCAUCCGGUUUUGGGGCCGGAUGGAGCGCUAUCUCGCAU
rnacentral:ncRNA from 2 species